CCUACGGGUGGCUGCAGUCGAGAAUCAUUCACAAUGGGGGAAACCCUGAUGGUGCGACGCCGCGUGGGGGAAUGAAGGUCUUCGGAUUGUAAACCCCUGUCAUGUGGGAGCAAAUUAAAAAGAUAGUACCACAAGAGGAAGAGACGGCUAACUCUGUGCCAGCAGCCGCGGUAAUACAGAGGUCUCAAGCGUUGUUCGGAAUCACUGGGCGUAAAGCGUGCGUAGGCUGUUUCGUAAGUCGUGUGUGAAAGGCGCGGGCUCAACCCGCGGACGGCACAUGAUACUGCGAGACUAGAGUAAGGGAGGGGGAACCGGAAUGCUCGGUGUAGCAGUGAAAUGCGUAGAUAUCGAGCGGAACACUCGUGGCGAAGGCGGGUUCCUGGACACUCACUGACGCUGAGGCACGAAGGCCAGGGGAGCGAAAGGGAUUAGAUACCCGAGUAGUC
rnacentral:rRNA from 1 species